rnacentral:lncRNA from 1 species
GCUUACAGUUCCUAUAAUCUUACUCUAUCUACAGAUAUAAUAAUCAUAGUCUUGAUUUCAUCAUGCAAUUUCCGUCUUUAACAAAUCAGAACAAUGAGAACUAUUCAUGCAGUUGGACAGAAAACAAGUGAUAACUUCACCUGCCACUCUACACUUUUCUCCAAAAAUGCAAAUAAACUUUCUAAGGACAAAUCUGAACCCAUACGUUUCUUUCUCAUAAGAUGGUUAGCAGGAGUGGUUAAUCAGCUGUUCAAGAUAGAUGGAGAAGUGUCAGAGAGGAGAAAGACACAGACAUAUCUUGGCAUCCAUGAUGAUAAAAAUACACUUUUCUACAGACCAGAGGAGGCCGAAAUAUUUACUGUAACUCAGAAAGCAAGUACCAAGUGGUUAAGCAAAAAGACAGAAGGAGAGAAGACUACACUGGGCUGUACACACAGAAGAACCAGAAAAAAUAAAUACUAUAUGCAGCCUACAGCCUCCUUCUGGAAUUUGCUGCCACCAGAGAUCAUUAACUCAAGAACUGUGUCCAGAUUUUUUAAGGCUGGAUAAGUUAACGCUUAAUAAUGGCAUGCACUGUUAUUCAACCCUGUGUAACAAAGUAGAUAAUAAAAGUUCAUUUCAAGAUGUAAACA